rnacentral:tRNA from 1 species
GUGAGGAUAGCUCAGUCGGUUAGAGCAUUGGAUUGUGGUUCCAAGGGUCGUGGGUUCGAAUCCCAUUCUUCACC